AGAGUUUGAUCCUGGCUCAGAAUGAACGUUGGCGGCGUGGAUUAGGCAUGCAAGUCGUACGCACCGCAAGGUGAGUGGCGCAAGGGUGAGUAAGGCGACGGUAACCAACCCCGGGAUUGGGUAUAGCCGCGGGAAACUGCGGGUAAUCCCCAGCGAUGUUACGAGGGGGCAUCUCCUUGUGACCAAAGCUCCGGCGUCGC
rnacentral:rRNA from 1 species